GGGGAUUCGCUAUUAGAUGAGCCUAUGUCGGAUUAGCUAGUUGGUGGGGUAAUGGCCUACCAAGGCAGUGAUCUGUAGCUGGUCUGAGAGGAUGAUCAGCCACACUGGAACUGAGACACGGUCCAGACUCCUACGGGAGGCAGCAGUGGGGAAUAUUGGACAAUGGGCGCAAGCCUGAUCCAGCUAUGCCGCGUGAGUGAGGAAGGCCUUAGGGUUGUAAAACUCUUUCAGUAGGGAAGAUAAUGACGGUACCA
rnacentral:rRNA from 1 species